GAUGAACGCUAGCGGCAGGCUUAACACAUGCAAGUCGAGGGGUAUAGUUAGCUUGCUAACUAGAGACCGACGCACGGGUGCGUAACGCGUAUGCAAUCUACCUUUUCCAGAGGGAUAACCCAGAGAAAUUUGGAUUAAUACCUCAUAGUAUCUUUUGCUGGCAUCAGGUGAUUAUUAAAGUUCCAACGGUAAAAGAUGAGCAUGCGUCCUAUUAGCUAGAUGGUAAGGUAACGGCUUACCAUGGCAACGAUAGGUAGGGGUCCUGAGAGGGAGAUCCCCCACACUGGUACUGAGACACGGACCAGACUCCUACGGGAGGCAGCAGUGAGGAAUAUUGGACAAUGGGCGCAAGCCUGAUCCAGCCAUGCCGCGUGCAGGAAGAAGCAUCUAUGGUGUGUAAACUGCUUUUGUACGGGAAGAAACACUCCCUCGUGAGGGAGCUUGACGGUACCGUAAGAAUAAGGAUCGGCUAACUCCGUGCCAGCCGCCGCGGUAAAAC
rnacentral:rRNA from 1 species